rnacentral:rRNA from 1 species
UUGUUGAAGAGUUAUUGCAAUGCCUCAGGUCAAAAAAUUAACUUGUCAAAGUCCUGUGUUUUCUUUAGUAAGGGGUGCCCAAAUAGCGUGACAGUGGAUGUCAAAAACGCCUUAAAUGUUACUAAUGAGCCUGUGUCUGAAAGAUACUUGGGGAUGCCCUCUAACGUUGGCGACAAUAAAAAUGGGGCUUUCAAGUUUCUAAAAGAUAGAGUAUGGGAAAAAGUCAAAGGUUGGAUGGCCAAAUUGUUGUCAGUUGGAGAAAAGGAAGUCCUUAUUAAAUCUGUAGCCCAAGUUGUACCAAUAUACUCUAUGUCCUAUUUCAGGCUCCCUCAAGGUUUGUGUGAGCACAUCAACACCCUAAUCCACAAAUUUUGGUGGGGGAGUAAAGACAGCCAAAGGAACCCCUACUAG